rnacentral:rRNA from 1 species
GAUCAUGGCUCAGGAUGAACGCUGGCGGCGUGCUUAACACAUGCAAGUCGAACGAAGCCAAAAGGAAGCUUGCUUCUUGAAGCUUAGUGGCGGACGGGUGAGUAACGCGUGAGGAACCUGCCCUUCAGUGGGGAAUAACAGCCGGAAACGACUGCUAAUACCGCAUAAUGUCACCGGAUCGCAUGAUCUGGUGACCAAAGGAUUUAUUCGCUGAAGGAUGGCCUCGCGUCCGAUUAGGCAGUUGGUGAGGUAACGGCCCACCAAACCUACGAUCGGUAGCCGAACUGAGAGGUUGAUCGGCCACAUUGGGACUGAGACACGGCCCAGACUCCUACGGGAGGCAGCAGUGGGGAAUAUUGGGCAAUGGGCGAAAGCCUGACCCAGCAACGCCGCGUGAAGGAAGACGGUCUUCGGAUUGUAAACUUCUUUGAUUGGGGAAGAACACAAUGACCUACCCAAAGAACAAGUCACGGCUAACUACGUGCCAGCAGCGGC